rnacentral:rRNA from 1 species
GAUAAACGCUAGCGGCAGGCCUAACACAUGCAAGUCGAGGGGUAACGAUGUCUUCGGACAGUCGACGACCGGCGCACGGGUGAGUAUCGCGUUUGUAACCUACCUUUAACUGGAGAAUAGCCCGAAGAAAUUCGGAUUAAUACUCCAUAAUACUAUGAACUGGCAUCUUUUUAUAGUUAAAGCUCCGGCGGUUAAAGAUGGGCAUGCGUAACAUUAGUUUGUUGGUGAGGUAACGGCUCACCAAGACUACGAUGUUUAGGGGGUCUGAGAGGAUGAUCCCCCACACUGGUACUGAGACACGGACCAGACUCCUACGGGAGGCAGCGCCAAGGCACACAGGGGAUAGG